GAUGAAGAACGCAGCGAAAUGCGAUAAGUAAUGUGAAUUGCAGAAUUCCGUGAAUCAUCGAAUCUUUGAACGCACAUUGCGCCCGCCAGUAUUCUGGCGGGCAUGCCUGUUCGAGCGUCAUUUCCACCAUCAGGCCCCCGGGCCUGUGUUGGGGACCUGCGGCUGCCCGCAGGCCCCGAAAUUCAGUGGCGGUCGCGCCGUAGCAACCGAGCGUAGUAACUAAAACGUCUCGCUCUGGCUCGCUGGGCGCGCUCCGGCCGUAAAACACCCCCCCUUUUCGCAAAGGUUGACCUCGGAUCAGGUAGGAAUACCCGCUGAACUUAAGCAUAUCAAUAAGCGGAGGA
rnacentral:misc_RNA from 1 species